rnacentral:rRNA from 1 species
UACGGAGGGUGCAAGCGUUAAUCGGAAUUACUGGGCGUAAAGCGUGCGCAGGCGGUUUGUUAAGUCCGUUGUGAAAGCCCCGAGCUCAACUUGGGAAUUGCAGUGGAUACUGGCAAGCUGGAGUACGGUAGAGGAAGGUGGAAUUCCCGGUGUAGCAGUGAAAUGCGUAGAUAUCGGGAGGAACACCAGUGGCGAAGGCGGCCUUCUGGACCAGUACUGACGUUCAGGCACGAAAGCGUGGGGAGCAAACAGG